GAUGAACGCUGGCGGCGUGCCUAAUACAUGCAAGUCGAGCGAACAGAUAAGGAGCUUGCUCCUUUGACGUUAGCGGCGGACGGGUGAGUAACACGUGGGUAACCUACCUAUAAGACUGGAAUAACUCCGGGAAACCGGGGCUAAUGCCGGAUAACAUGUUGAACCGCAUGGUUCUACAGUGAAAGGCGGCUUUGCUGUCACUUAUAGAUGGACCCGCGCCGUAUUAGCUAGUUGGUGAGGUAACGGCUCACCAAGGCAACGAUACGUAGCCGACCUGAGAGGGUGAUCGGACACACUGGAACUGAGACACGGUCCAGACUCCUACGGGAGGCAGCAGUAGGGAAUAUUCCGCAAUGGGCGAAAGCCUGACGGAGCAACGCCGCGUGAGUGAUGAAGGUCUUCAGAUCGUAAAACUCUGUUAUUAGGGAAGAACAAAUGCGUAAGUAACUGUGCGCGUCUUGACGGUACCUAAUCAGAAAGCCACGGCUAACUACGUG
rnacentral:rRNA from 1 species